AAUAACGCGCUUUAAAUCCACACACGUUUUCAUAACAUGCAGUAGGGUCCCCGUAGGGGUUCUGUAUGGAAAGCGUGGAGGCGUAAC
rnacentral:sRNA from 1 species